rnacentral:rRNA from 1 species
UACAGAGGGUGCAAGCGUUAAUCGGAAUUACUGGGCGUAAAGCGCGCGUAGGUGGUUCAUCAAGUUGGAUGUGAAAUCCCCGGGCUCAACCUGGGAACUGCAUCCAAAACUGGUGAGCUAGAGUAGGGCAGAGGGUGGUGGAAUUUCCUGUGUAGCGGUGAAAUGCGUAGAUAUAGGAAGGAACACCAGUGGCGAAGGCGACCACCUGGGCUCAUACUGACACUGAGGUGCGAAAGCGUGGGGAGCAAACAGG